AGACACAAGCAAGGAGAGAAAGAAUGAGGAAGAUGAGGGGAAACGAAAAAAACUUGGAUUCCAGGAUGCUUUCAGACACAGUGAGGAGCAACAGCAGUGACAGUUUAAGGAAAAGGUGUAACUGUAUUUGUCCAGUGGGCGUGUAUUGGACAGCAGUCUUCCAAUGCAAAAGUGAAGCUUAGUCAAACUCCACAAUGAAGCAACGGAUGAAAUGUUUCACAUGAUGCAGUGGUGGCAAUAUCACAAGAAGGCCCAGGCUGAAAAUAACUGUAGUUAUCCUUUGAAAUGUUUUUCAUACUUACGCAUACUUUAUAUAUUAGGGAUAGGGAUUGUUUUUUAUUGAUUCGAUUUUUUUAUUGCUGUAAGGACCUCAGAAUCUGUAUUUUUAGCCUAUAUAUUUGAGGCAUGUAAAUGUUCUUUUUUCACUGUGUUCAAAGUGGGUAAAUGUAACAAAUGCUGGAUUGCUGUGUUAAGUAUGACUAGCUUUCACCCAUCAGAAGCUAUGUUUAGAGCUGUGGAAAGGGAUAACAAAAGAACCCCUGACUUUUGGAUGUAUUUUAAUUUAAAGAUGGACUGCAUAGGGGCAGUAUCAGGCAAUAACACCACACACUGAACAAUAAUAAAUCAGUCCUCACAUCAGUCUCCAGCAGGUUGUA